rnacentral:lncRNA from 1 species
CAAAAUUCCUAAAACCUGCCUAAACAGUUAGUACAACUCUAAUUGGUCAAAAUCGCACACUCAAGAGCAUGCCAUUUCACCCAAACAUCCAAGAAAGUAUGGCCACGAACAAGAAGCCCAAGAAACCAUUAUUCAACCUUCAACGGUUCAACCCAACCUUGCCAUUACCCUCUUAUUCAUUAUUGUGUUCACAAUUCCAGCUCUUCUUCUCCUUCACGCGGUCACACCCCAUCAACUUCGAUUUGUACCUUUUCAUCUAACAAUAAGGCAUGGUCGGUAGAUCUUCAGAACGCAGAAUUCGCGUGGAAUCAUCUAAAAUUCUCUGACGAAGAGUCCCCAUUAAGGAGUCUAAAAAUCGCGGUCUUCUCUGGGAAUGGCCUACGAGCAUCAUCCCCGGUGGCAUGGAACGCCACGCGUAUACGCUGCACACAGCUCUAGCACAACGGGGACAUCAAGUGCACGUCUGCACUUAACCCCCUCUUGGUAGUGAUACCAUUCCAACCAAUUCCAAGGAGCAAAUUCCUUCUCAAACAAGUCAUGGUUCAUCAUCAACUACAAUACACUGUCAUGAGGGCGAACCGAGCAAACGGAGAUACAACAAGGCACGGGAGCAAUUUCAAGAAGAAAAACAACACGAGCCUUUUGAUGUAAUUCAUUCAGAAAGUGUUGCUCUCCCAUUCUGGUUGGCUCGAGAUCUACCUAAUCUCGUGGUUUCAUGGCACAGGAUUGCACUAGAAGGUGUACAAUCGAGUAUCUACCAACACUUGGCACAUCAGCCUAAUGAGCCCAUGUCCUCUCUACCUUCAACAGCCUAUAAGGAGUAAUCCCAAAAGUCUUAAACGAAAUUCGAUUUUUCAGAAAUUAUGCACACCAUGUGGCUACAAGUGAUGGUUGUAGCGAAAUGCUAAGGGACGUCCACCAAAUUCCCCCUAAACGUGUCCAUGUGAUAAUCAAUGGAGUCGAUGGGGAUGAUUUUUGUGAAGAUUUAAGAUUAGGCCAAGAAUUCAGAUCCAAAAUUGGUAUCCCACAAAAUGCUAGUAUAGUUCUAGGGGUUGAAGGAAGACUAGUGAAGGACAAAGGCCAUUCCCUUUUACACAAGGCCUAUUCAAAGCUCAAGCUAAAAUACCCCAAUGUCUACUUUUAAUCGUGGCAGGUUCUGGUCCAUGGCAACAAUUGUACAAAGAUUUAGGGCCUCAAGCGAUUGUUCUCGGAUCCAUGAAUCCAUCCGAAUUACGUGCUUUUUACAAUGCAAUCAACAUUUUUUGUUAAUACGACGCUUUGGCCACAAGGGAAUGAUAUUACACUAAUGGAGGCUAUGAUGAUUGGAAAACCAGUUAUGGCAUCAAGAUUUCCUAGUAUUAAAGGGACAAUUGUGGUUAAGGAUGAAUUUGGUAUCAUGUUUUCGCCUAAUGUCGAAUCAUUGUCCGAGGCAUUGGAAUUGAUUGUGUCUGAGGAAUCAAAUAGGCUAUUGCAGAGUGGAAAAACAUGCAGAGAAUAUGCAGCUUCUAUGUUUACUGCACGAAAACUGGCAUUGGCCUAUCAAAGAUUGUUCCUUUGCAUAAAAAAUGAAACUUUUUGUAGGUUACAUAAACUAGAUUAUAAGAUUGAUGUUCUUUUGGAAAAUAAUUCAAUAAAUUUACAUAAACUAGAUUAUAAGAUUGAUAUUCGUUUACUUUGAUCACAUUAUGUAAUAGUACUUUUGACUCGCAUAUCAAUUGUAGUACGAAUGCUUUUGGAUUUAUAAGCACGUUGAACUUCUUCUCGUUAUAAGUUAAUUUUUU